rnacentral:rRNA from 1 species
GAUGAACGCUGGCGGCGUGCCUAAUACAUGCAAGUCGAGCGAAGCCUUCGGGCUUAGCGGCGGACGGGUGAGUAACGCGUGGGAACGUGCCCUUUGGUAAGGAAUAGCCCCGGGAAACUGGGAGUAAUACCGUAUGUGGUCGCGAGACGAAAGAUUUAUCGCCAAAGGAUCGGCCCGCGUUGGAUUAGGUAGUUGGUGGGGUAAUGGCCUACCAAGCCGACGAUCCAUAGCUGGUUUGAGAGGAUGAUCAGCCACACUUGGACUGAGACACGGCCCAGACUCCUACGGGAGGCAGCAGUGUGGGAUCUUAGACAAUGGGGGAAACCCUGAUCUAGCCAUGCCGCGUGAUCGAUGAAGGCCUUAGGGUUGUAAAGCUCUUUCAGUGGGGAAGAUAGUGACGGUACCCACAGAAGAAGCCCCGGCUAACUCCGUGCCAGCCGCCGCAGUAA